rnacentral:rRNA from 1 species
ACCUGGUUGAUCCUGCCAGUGCGCUAUACGCUCUUUUUAAAGACUAAGCCAUGCAUAUGCCAAGUUCAUACAUUAACAAUGUGAGACUGUGGAAGGCUCAGUAUAUCAGUUAUAAUCUGCUCGAUUGUUGAGGUUAUUGGAUAACCGUGGGAAAUCUAGAGCUAAUACAUGCAGCAAAGCAUGCGGCAGUUUGACUGCGUGCGUGGCAUUUAUUAGACUGCUACCAACCGUGUCAGAGUUGCAAGACGAUGGCGCGUGGUGAAUCUAGAUAACUGUGCAGAUCGUAUGGCCUUGAGCCGGCGAUGUUUCGAUUGAAUUUCUGCCCUAUCAACUUUUGUCGGCAGUUUAGUGGACUGCCGAGGUUAUUACGGGUAACGGGGGAUCAGGGUUCGAUUCCGGAGAGGGAGCCUGAGAAACGGCUACCACAUCCAAGGAAGGCAGCAGGCGCGCAAAUUACCCAAUCCAGACGAUGGGAGGUGGUGACGAAAAGUACUGAAUGACGGCCUCUGGUUGUCAGUUUGGAAUGGAAACAAUUUAAGAAAUUGGUUUGAGUAACAACUGGAGGGCAAGUCUGGUGCCAGCAGCCGCGGUAAUUCCAGCUCCAGUAGCGUAUCUCAAAGUUGCUGCGCUUAAAACGCUCGUAGUUGGAUCAAGUUACGUUUGCGAGUGGGUGUGCAAACAACUGCGCUUCUGUCUUGGUAGGGUCCUAGCAUGCGUUCUCGUGUGUUUGGGCGACCGGACGGCAAAGUAUUUGCUACUUGAAAGCUCGCAAAUGAAAAUUGCACGUGAGGAUGGUGGUUGACCUUGAGUGAGUUGGCCGUCGUGUCUCACGGAGUGUGCCUUGAGUAAAACAGAGUGCUUAAAGCAGGCAGUGAUGCUUGAAUGUUGAUAGCAUGGAACGAACAAUCGUGUAUGGUGUGUGCUGAGUACAGUGCGUCGGUGCGCAAUCGCUGGCGCACUUCAGCACACGACACCGACCACCAAUUACGGAUGUUGGUUCCGUAUUGGGGUACUGAUUAAGAGGAGCGGUUGGGGGCAUUGGUAUUUGGCAGCGAGAGGUGAAAUUCUUAGACCUGCCAAGGACUAACAAAUGCGAAGGCAUCUGUCCAGACCGUGUCCAUUAAUCAAGAACGAAAGUGAGAGGUUCGAAGACGAUCAGAUACCGUCCUAGUUCUCACUGUAAACGGUGCCGACCCGGGAUCAGUUUGGAGCAAGUAUCCACGCUCGAGGUUGGUCACCCUGGGGGAAACAUAAAGUUUUUCGGUUNGCGGGGGGAGUAUGGUCGCAAGGCUGANNACUUANAAGGGAAUUGACGGAAGGGCACCACCAGGGGUGGAGCCUGCGGNUUAAUUUGAUUCAACACGGGAAAACUUACCUGGUCCGGANGUCAAAGGAGGAUAAACAGAUUUGCGAUCUUUUUUGAUAUGAUGAUUGGUGGUGCAUGGCCGUUCUUAGUUCGUGGAGUGAUUUGUCAGGCCGAUUCCGGUAACGAACGAGAUCACAGUCUCCAUUUGAAGCGCCGAAGAAGGCAGGAUUUUCGGUCGUGGCCGUAACAGGCGACGGACGGGAAGGCUGUCGGUGGCGAGAGUGACGCAGAGGCUCGUAACGUUGUGCGGUAACGUGCGGCAGAUAAGAGUGUGCUACGGCAUGUUCUCCCUUGGGUGAAACAGUUUGCUGAUCGCAAGAUGAGCAAGGUGUAUCAUGGAGAGACAACGGAAUAUAUUGCAAAAUCCGAGGAAGUGUGGCUAUAACAGGUCUGUGAUGCCCUUAGAUGUUCAGGGCUGCACGCGCGCUACAAUGGCGGUGACAGCAAGUGUCUGGAUCGAAAGAUUUGGGUAAUCUUGAAUCACCGCCGUGAUGGGGAUCGACGUUUGUAAUUACGUCGUGAAAUAGGAAUCCCUAGUGCGUGCGAUUCAUGAGAUCGCGCGGAUUCAGUCCCUGCCCUUUGUACACACCGCCCGUCGCUACUACCGAGUGAAUGGUGCCAUAAUGCCCUGGGAGCGGACGUCGUUACCGGGUUAACGCCCGGGAGGACGCUGCAAUCAGCGUAGAAUGGUGCAAUUUCGAGGAAGUAUAAGUCGUAACAAGGUUUCCGUAGGUGAACCAGCGGAAG